rnacentral:rRNA from 1 species
CUGCUGCCUCCCGUAGGAGUUUGGGCCGUGUCUCAGUCCCAAUGUGGCCGUUCACCCUCUCAGGCCGGCUACUGAUCGUCGCCUUGGUGGGCCGUUACCCCGCCAACCAGCUAAUCAGACGCGGGUCCAUCCCAUACCACCGGAGUUUUUCACACUGUUCCAUGCGAAACCGUGCGCUUAUGCGGUAUUAGCAGUCAUUUCUAACUGUUAUCCCCCUGUAUGAGGCAGGUUACCCACGCGUUACUCACCCGUCCGCCA